UACGUAGGGGGCUAGCGUUGUCCGGAAUCAUUGGGCGUAAAGAGCGUGUAGGCGGUCCGGUAAGUCCGCUGUGAAAGCCCCCGGCUCAACUGGGGAGGGUCACGCGAUACUGAUCGACUCGAAGGCAGGAGAGGGUAUUGGAAUUCCCGGUGUAGUGGUGAAAUGCGUAGAUAUCGGGAGGAACACCAGUGGCGAAGGCGACUACCUGGCCUGUUCUUGACGCUGAGGCGCGAAAGCUAGGGGAGCAAACGGG
rnacentral:rRNA from 1 species